UACGUAGGUGGCAAGCGAUACUCGGAAUCACUAGGCGUAAAGCGCAGGUAGGAGGUUUGGAAAGUCUCUUGUGAAAGCUCCCGGCUUAACUGGGAGAGGUCAAGGGAAACUACUAGGCUAGAGUGCGGUAGAGGUAGCUGGAAUUCCCGGUGUAGCGGUGAAAUGCGUAGAUAUCGGGAGGAAUACCUAUGGCGAAAGCAGGCUACUGGACCGUCACUGACUCUGAUCUGCGAAAGCUAGGGGAGCAAACAGG
rnacentral:rRNA from 1 species